rnacentral:rRNA from 1 species
GUCUGCGGCCAUACUACCCUGAAUGUGCCUAAUCUUUUCUGACCUCAGAAGCUGAGCAGGGUUGGGCCUGGUUAGUACUUGGAUGGGAGAAUAAUUUUUCCAAACA